rnacentral:rRNA from 1 species
CACGAACGCUGGCGGCAGGCUUAACACAUGCAAGUCGAGCGCCCCGCAAGGGGAGCGGCAGACGGGUGAGCAACGCGUGGGAAUCUACCCAUCUCUACGGAAUAACGCAUGGAAACGUGUGCUAAUACCGUAUACGUCCUUCGGGAGAAAGAUUUAUCGGAGAUGGAUGAGCUCGCGUUGGAUUGGCUAGUUGGUGGGGUAAAGGCCUACCAAGGCGACGAUCCAUAGCUGGUCUGAGAGGAUGAUCAGCCACACUGGGACUGAGACACGGCCCAGACUCCUACGGGAGGCAGCAGUGGGGAAUAUUGGACAAUGGGCGCAAGCCUGAUCCAGCCAUGCCGCGUGAGUGAUGAAGGCCCUAGGGUUGUAAAGCUCUUUCACCGGUGAAGAUAAUGACGGUAACCGGAGAAGAAGCCCCGGCUAACUUCGUGCCAGCCGCCGCCGUAAAAC